rnacentral:rRNA from 1 species
AGAGUUUGAUCAUGGCUCAGAUUGAACGCUGGCGGCGUGCUUAACACAUGCAAGUCGAACGAGAAAGUUCCUUCGGGAAUGAGUAGAGUGGCGCACGGGUGAGUAACGCGUGGAUAAUCUACCGGGGAGUGGGGAAUAACAGUUGGAAACGGCUGCUAAUACCGCAUACGCUGCAUAUAUAUCUAUGCAGGAAAGGGGGCCUCUGCAUAUGCUUCCGCUUUUCGAUGAGUCCGCGUCCCAUUAGCUUGUUGGCGGGGUAACGGCCACCAAGGCGACGAUGGGUAGCUGGUCUGAGAGGAUGGACCCAGCCACACUGGGACUGGAACACGGCCCAGACUCCUACGGGAGGCA